UAACUGAAAUCUAAUCCACUUGAAAGUACUCUGGAAGACCACCCAGGUGUUUCAUAUGGCUGCUAUCUUGCUACUAAAUAGGCCCAUUACACAAGCUGGAGAACAUUACCCCAGCAGACUAAUUCACCCAGUGACAGAGUAAGGCAAUGAUCCACGGAUUAUUAUUGACUUUUCCAUGUAACUUCUGGCAUCAAAUUCAACGUGAAUCAAAAUCCAAAGUCCACAGGUCAUCUCAUUCUAUGCUAUCCAUCUAGACUGGAAAACACACAUACAGAGUUGCCUUCACAGAUAAGGUUCCUCAUGAAGGGAAUGAGAGUUGGGUAAGUGAAGAACACAUGAAGGUAUGUGAAGAAGGCCAGGGUGGCUGAAGCAUGAAGAACAAAGGGAAAAAGAGCACAAAAUGAGCCAACAGAGGAAUUCAGUCUGCAUCUUGCCAAGGAGAAAGACAUGUGAACAUGUCAGUACGGUUGACCCUUGAACAACACAGGAAAUUCUGCCUCAAGAAACAGAGUAUGAGAGAAGAAGACAGCAGAGAGACUGCUAGAGUAUACUGAGGGGGAGAAAUUGAAAGCCUGAAAUAAACGUGACAAGAAUCCUGAGAGCACAUCAGGUUGAACCGAUGAAUAGCACAUCUCUCAUUUCAGCUGAGAUGCUUUAUGUCUAAUUUCUGGUUUUAAUCCUAAUAGUUACCCUCACAUAUUUGAAGUGAUAAUAAAGAGA